UAGGGAAUCUUCCACAAUGGACGCAAGUCUGAUGGAGCAACGCCGCGUGAGUGAAGAAGGUUUUCGGACCGUAAAGCUCUGUUGUUGGUGAAGAAGGAUAGAGGUAGUAACUGGCCUUUAUUUGACGGUAAUCAACCAGAAAGUCACGGCUAACUACGUGCCAGCAGCCGCGGUAAUACGUAGGUGGCAAGCGUUGUCCGGAUUUAUUGGGCGUAAAGCGAGCGCAGGCGGAAGAAUAAGUCUGAUGUGAAAGCCCUCGGCUUAACCGAGGAAUUGCAUCGGAAACUGUUUUCUUGAGUGCAGAAGAGGAGAGUAGAACUCCAUGUGUAGCGGUGGAAUGCGUAGAUAUAUGGAAGAAUACCAGUGGCGAAGGCGGCUCUCUGGUCUGCAACUGACGCUGAGGCUCGAAAGCAUGGGUAGCGAACAGGAUUAGAUACCCUGGUAGUCCAUGCCGUAAACGAUGAGUGCUAAGUGUUGGGAGGCUUCCGCCUCUCAGUGCUGCAGCUAACGCAUUAAGCACUCCGCCUGGGG
rnacentral:rRNA from 1 species